CAUAACGAAGGAUUCUUCCAUGCAGAACACCCAACCAUUGUCUCAUUCUGGGAAGGUGUUUGAUGAACUGUAGGACAACCAUAAAAGAAAUUUCCUCUUGUUCCUGACGGGAUUUGAUCGAGUGCCUAUUCUGGGUAUGGACCAGGUGAAGAUGAGGGUCCGACCCAUGUUCAACUCCACCCAGGAGCACCUGCCACAGGCGCUGACCUGCCAUGCCAUCCUGGAUCUGCCCAUGUACCAAACCAGGGAAACACUCCGGACUAAACUCACUGAGGCCCUGAACCACAAACGGGGCUUCUGGGAGGAGUAGCAUGACAAGGCCUUGAUAAGUGCCAUCGUCAUAUCAGACGUGCUUCUGUCUGUGAACGCUAAAUCUGCUUUUGCGCCUGCAGUUUUUAAUGUAAUUAUGCAGCAGAGUAAAUACAUGGUUUGUAAAUGUGCUGUAACAGUAAAUUUGAACUUACAAACAUGUUUUUAGCCUCUGAGAUGUACAAUUGUAAGGUAAUUUAAAUCUGAAAGAAUAAUAUAAAACUAACGUGGGGAAAAAAAUAAAGUUAUGUUUUUCCUUCA